AUGAGCGCUAGCUACAGGCUUAACACAUGCAAGUCGAGGGGCAGCAUUUUAGUUUGCUUGCAAACUGAAGAUGGCGACCGGCGCACGGGUGAGUAACACGUAUCCAACCUGCCGAUAACUCCGGAAUAGCCUUUCGAAAGAAAGAUUAAUACCGGAUAGUAUACGAAUAUCGCAUGAUAUUUUUAUUAUAGAAUUUCGGUUAUCGAGCGUGAUGCGUUGCAUUUGUUUGUUGGCCGGGUAACGGCCCAGCAAAACGACGAUGGAUAGGGGUUCUGAGAGGAAGGUCCCCCACAUUGGAACUGAGACACGGUCCAAACUCCUACGGGAGGCAGCAGUGAGGAAUAUUGGUCAAUGGGCGAGAGCCUGAACCAGCCAAGUAGCGUGAAGGAUGAAGGCUCUAUGGGUCGUAAACUUCUUUUAUAUGGGAAUAAAGUUUUCCACGUGUGGAAUUUUGUAUGUACCAUAUGAAUAAGGAUCGGCUAACUCCGUGCCAGCAGCCGCGGUAAUACGGAGGAUCCGAGCGUUAUCCGGAUUUAUUGGGUUUAAAGGGAGCGUAGGUGGAUUGUUAAGUCAGUUGUGAAAGUUUGCGGCUCAACCGUAAAAUUGCAGUUGAAACUGGGAGUCUUGAGUACAGUAGAGGUGGGCGGAAUUCGUGGUGUAGCGGUGAAAUGCUUAGAUAUCACGAAGAACUCCGAUUGCGAAGGCAGCUCACUAGACUGUCACUGACACUGAUGCUCGAAAGUGUGGGUAUCAAACAGGAUUAGAUACCCUGGUAGUCCACACAGUAAACGAUGAAUACUCGCUGUUUGCGAUAUACAGUAAGCGGCCAAGCGAAAGCAUUAAGUAUUCCACCUGGGGAGUACGCCGGCAACGGUGAAACUCAAAGGAAUUGACGGGGGCCCGCACAAGCGGAGGAACAUGUGGUUUAAUUCGAUGAUACGCGAGGAACCUUACCCGGGCUUAAAUUGCAACAGAAUAUAUUGGAAACAGUAUAGCCGUAAGGCUGUUGUGAAGGUGCUGCAUGGUUGUCGUCAGCUCGUGCCGUGAGGUGUCGGCUUAAGUGCCAUAACGAGCGCAACCCUUAUCUUUAGUUACUAACAGGUCAUGCUGAGGACUCUAGAGAGACUGCCGUCGUAAGAUGUGAGGAAGGUGGGGAUGACGUCAAAUCAGCACGGCCCUUACGUCCGGGGCUACACACGUGUUACAAUGGGGGGUACAGAAGGCGGCUACCUGGUGACAGGAUGCUAAUCCCAAAAACCUCUCUCAGUUCGGAUCGAAGUCUGCAACCCGACUUCGUGAAGCUGGAUUCGCUAGUAAUCGCGCAUCAGCCAUGGCGCGGUGAAUACGUUCCCGGGCCUUGUACACACCGCCCGUCAAGCCAUGAAAGCCGGGGGUACCUGAAGUACGUAACCGCAAGGAGCGUCCUAGGGUAAAACUGGUAAUUGGGGCU
rnacentral:rRNA from 1 species